CCUACGGGCGGCAGCAGUGGGGAAUAUUGGACAAUGGGCGAAAGCCUGAUCCAGCCAUGCCGCGUGUGUGAAGAAGGCCUUCGGGUUGUAAAGCACUUUCAGUGGGGAAGAAAGCCUUGGGGCUAAUACCCUCGAGGAAGGACAUCACCCACAGAAGAAGCACCGGCUAACUCCGUGCCAGCAGCCGCGGUAAUACGGAGGGUGCGAGCGUUAAUCGGAAUUACUGGGCGUAAAGCGCGCGUAGGCGGUCUGAUAAGCCGGUUGUGAAAGCCCCGGGCUCAACCUGGGAACGGCAUCCGGAACUGUCAGGCUAGAGUGCAGGAGAGGAAGGUAGAAUUCCCGGUGUAGCGGUGAAAUGCGUAGAGAUCGGGAGGAAUACCAGUGGCGAAGGCGGUCUUCUGGACUGACACUGACGCUGAGGUGCGAAAGCGUGGGUAGCAAACAGGAUUAGAUACCCUAGUAGUC
rnacentral:rRNA from 1 species